UACGUAGGGUGCAAGCGUUAAUCGGAAUUACUGGGCGUAAAGCGUGCGCAGGCGGUUUUGUAAGACAGGUGGGAAAUCCCCGGGCUUAACCUGGGAACUGCAUUUGUGACUGCAAGGCUGGAGUGCGGCAGAGGGGGAUGGAAUUCCGCGUGUAGCAGUGAAAUGCGUAGAUAUGCGGAGGAACACCGAUGGCGAAGGCAAUCCCCUGGGCCUGCACUGACGCUCAUGCACGAAAGCGUGGGGAGCAAACAGG
rnacentral:rRNA from 1 species